rnacentral:lncRNA from 1 species
AAAGUCACAAAAAUAGCACUUAAUGUUUUAUCAAAAGUCACAAAUUUAAGGUUUAGAGUUAAAGGGUAUGGUUUAGGGUUUAGAGUUUAGGGUUUAGGGUUUAGGGUUUAGGGUUUAGAGUCUAGGGUUUAGAGUUUAGGGUUUAGGGUUUAGGAUUUAGAGUUGAGAAAUGAGGUUUUGGGGAUAAGAUUUCAAAUUUUGAAAAAUAAAAAUAUUAGAAUUUUCAAAGGAUAAACUUAGAAAAGUGCUAUUUUGGUCAUUUUAGUUUUUGAGUGCUAUUUUUGUGAUAUAAACUUAGAAAGGUGCUAUUUUGGAGAUUUGCCCAAAAACUGUUCGGGAUAUUCCGAGGAUUUCAUUUUUCGUCAGAAUAUCCGUCAGAAUACCGCUGUUUUCUUGUAGUGUUUGAUUAAAAGCAAGAAGGGGUAUGCAGAUAUUCAUACAGCAAAACGAAUGGAAGAUAUGGAUUUAUAGGUUUAAAAGCAAAAUAAUUUCAAUGCCAUGGACGGUUACAAAGAAGCAUGUUAUCUCCUGCACCAGUGGGAGUGUGUUGGAGCAGAUUAUGAUGUAACAGAUGGAUUGCAUCAAAUGAUCUAUAUAAAAAAGGUAUUUACUCACAACAGUUGAGAGCCUCAAAAAAAGAUCUUACAAAACCAAGAACGAUGUGAAGAAAAACUAGCGGAUCAGCAUGUCCUACUAAUGCGUUAAGAAGCAUCGUGUUACUGUUGUUUUUAGUAAAUUUUUUUGGUCAUCGGUUUUUUCCGAGAAACACAUUUUUCCUCGGAAUUUCCUCGGAAUAUACCGACGGAAUUCCGAGGAAAUAUCAAUCCGUCGGAAUAUUCCGACGAAAUUCCGAGGAAAAAUGUGUUCCUCGGAAAAAACCGAUGAAUUCCGAGGAAAUAUUAUAGCCGUUGGGAGAUUUUACAAAAUUACGAGGAAAUUCCGUGGAACACUUAAUAUUUAGAGAUGCCAUGGGCUUUGUACUAAGGAAGAGUCUUUCCCAGUUUAACUCUUCUUGUUGGUUUUGUCGGAACAAAAAUGCAGACUUCGGUGACCAAACUCGGCUUUAUUGCGAUACUGACCGAACCGGAGUUUGAUUAAGAUAAACCGAUAAGCUCAAAUGAGAACCGGUUUGCAGGCUAGUAAAGCAAAAAAUAAAAAAAGGUCCUACCGAGAUUUGAACUCGGGUUACUGGAUUCAGAGUCCAAUGUCCUGACCACUAGACCAUAGGACCAAUUGCUUUCAAUCACUUUAGGUCUGUUUAAGAAGAAAAUGUAUUAUUCGCCAUGGUGGCCACCGAGGCAGCAGUCUUGGGAAAAGCUCCGAUCAAAGUAAUGGACCAGAGCUGUGACAAGUGACAACUACCAAUUUUUUUAAAAAGUUGGCUUCGGGCAUAUUAUUUUUAUAACUAAUUUAAAAGGCAUAAUUCCAAAAUUAUAUUCUAUAUGAUCAACUCAUAAAAACAUUUCGAAAAGUUGUUUUAAUUUGAACUUUAUUAUUAUAACAUCUAACUUUAUUGAUUUCAAAUCCAAUGUAACAGAUUACAUGAAAAAACAUAAGGUACAAAAAAUAUGUUAUUAAGAAAAAAAUUGAGAAAAAGACAAAAAUAGCACUAAAUCAAGUUUAUGUUCUCAAACUAGCAUUCAAGGUCAAAAGUCACAAAAAUAGCACUUAAUGUUUUAUCAAAAGUCACAAAUUUAAGGUUUAGAGUUAAAGGGUAUGGUUUAGGGUUUAGAGUUUAGGGUUUAGGGUUUAGAUUUUAGGGUUUAGGGUUUAGGGUUUAGAGUUUAGGGUUUAGGGUUUAGGGUUUAGGGUUUAGAGUCUAGGGUUUAGAGUUUAGGGUUUAGGGUUUAGGAUUUAGAGUUGAGAAAUGAGGUUUUGGGGAUAAGAUUUCAAAUUUUGAAAAAUAAAAAUAUUAGAAUUUUCAAAGGAUAAACUUAGAAAAGUGCUAUUUUGGUCAUUUUAGUUUUUGAGUGCUAUUUUUGUGAUAUAAACUUAGAAAGGUGCUAUUUUGGAGAUUUGCCCAAAAACUGUUCGGGAUAUUCCGAGGAUUUCAUUUUUCGUCAGAAUAUCCGUCAGAAUACCGCUGUUUUCUUGUAGUGUUUGAUUAAAAGCAAGAAGGGGUAUGCAGAUAUUCAUACAGCAAAACGAAUGGAAGAUAUGGAUUUAUAGGUUUAAAAGCAAAAUAAUUUCAAUGCCAUGGACGGUUACAAAGAAGCAUGUUAUCUCCUGCACCAGUGGGAGUGUGUUGGAGCAGAUUAUGAUGUAACAGAUGGAUUGCAUCAAAUGAUCUAUAUAAAAAAGGUAUUUACUCACAACAGUUGAGAGCCUCAAAAAAAGAUCUUACAAAACCAAGAACGAUGUGAAGAAAAACUAGCGGAUCAGCAUGUCCUACUAAUGCGUUAAGAAGCAUCGUGUUACUGUUGUUUUUAGUAAAUUUUUUUGGUCAUCGGUUUUUUCCGAGAAACACAUUUUUCCUCGGAAUUUCCUCGGAAUAUACCGACGGAAU